AAACAAAUUGAAUAGUCAUCAGAGCGCAUGAUCUUCCAGAAGCAGAGCUGCCACCCAACCCCUUUACUACCGAUUGAAUGGCUAAUACCGCGUAUGUGAGGCGCUUGAAUGUUCUGAGUGGCUGGCUACGCUACACUGACAGAGGCAGCGAGUAUACAACCUUGACCGGAAGGUCUGGGCAAUCUUUUGAAACUCUGUCGUGCUGGGGAUAGAGCAUUGCAAUUAUUGCUCUUCAACGAGGAAUUCCUAGUAAGCGCAUGUCAUCAGCAUGCGUUGAUUACGUCCCUGCCCUUUGUACACACCGCCCGUCGCUACUACCAUUGAUGGCUAAAUA
rnacentral:rRNA from 1 species